rnacentral:lncRNA from 1 species
GAGAUCACCUCCAUUGUAGUGUUUAUUGAGUUAUGGUCCUUGGAAAGGUGUAAGUAAUUCCAUCUUUACCAUUAUUUGCUAUCAAUUUGUGAGCUCUACCUUUCUUGGGUGAUUUGGAGCUUGUUUAAAGCUAUAUCUACUGUUGCCUAUCCUUACAUAAUCACAUGGAUGGUACCUUUCCAGAGAACUGGCAAAAAGACCAGUAAUUUCAUUCUCCACAGAUCAGCUCCUGAAGACCCUAGAAAAAAGGGUUUUUGGUGGAUGGCACAGCCCUCAACCAACCUGCUCAGCUACAGCUGAGAGACAAGAGUCCGCUGGUUUCAACAUCAAGUUGGCUAACUUUUACAGUGAUGUGACUUGCCAAUUGAAAACCAUCAAUGGCUUUGCCUAAAUUAGAAAGUAAACCAGGAAGAUGUUUCCUGUAUGUGUAGCUGGUCAAUGCAUCCAUACAGAAGAUACGUUCCAGAACAAGUGCUUGCCAUCAUUAAGAAGUUGCAUCUUGUCCUUGUUUCCCAAUUGUUUGAUGGUAUUAAUGGAAGCAAAAAGAACAUUCAAGAUACCUUCUUGGUACUUCUCUUACUACUCCAGAGUCCUAACCAAGGCCAUGAGCUCUGCUAUUGCAGAAAAUGUGAAUGCAAGGACUAUGGAAAUACUGGAUAUUGGAGAGUUUCUUUCUCUGGAAGACCUGUAGAUCAUCAGCACUCAAGCUAUAACUCGGUUUGGACCUCCUUCAUGACUGGAUUCUGCUACUCUCUCCCCAGACUAGCUACAGGCUCCUUCAACCUGGAGGGGGAUGCAGUGAGUCUGCAGUGA